ACAGCCACCCACCUCACUCCCACUCCUCCCCCAUCUCUCUAGCCGUCAGACAUACCUUAUAUGUUUGUUAGGUACGACUCAUAUAUACCAGACAAGGGCCAGAUGGAAGAGCACGGUAAUUUUGUAAUUGCAGUAAAGGUUAUAUAAAGAGGAGUCGAAUGAGCGAAAUGGCCCACCUUAAUCCACCUCGUGAAGAUGGACUGCAAUAUUUGCAGUCCCCCCAAGCUGAUAAUGUGUUAUUCAAGGCGAGUCUUAAACCCGAGCACCAAGGUACUUACAACACCGCUGCCAACUGAAGUGCCAACCAGUUCGGCUUUACACACCUAUGAUGGUUUAUUUGGAGCAUAUUUUCUUUUAUUUAUGAUUAUUACACAUGGGUAUGCAUUCCCUUAAUAGCUACAUAUCACUUGAUUUCAAAAAUAAAACCCUCAAUGAUAAUAUCAUGCAAAGAAUUGUAAGCA